rnacentral:tRNA from 1 species
UCUUCCGUAGUAUAGUGGUCAGUAUAUGAGCUUGUCAUCCGUCAAGUUCGGCAUCGCUCGGGACCCGGGUUCAAUUCCCGGCGGGAGAG